rnacentral:lncRNA from 1 species
ACACAGAGAAACCCAGUCUCAAAAAACCAAAACGCAAACCGAACCAAACCAAAACAAAAAAGCCUAAAAAAAGCCCCAUCUCUGGCCCAUGUUAUCCUCCUUGCCAGCUUUUAACAUUCAUAGGACUUUGUUACGUAUGGUGUAGGAUUGCUGUCAUUGUGUGAAAACCAUGUAUUUCCUGCCUCAACUUUCCCAGCUGACAAAUGUGUACAGCAAGAAUACCUGCUUUGUUGGUGUUGUGAGGAUGCUGUGAUCUUGUAGAGAGUGUGUCCAUGGUCUCACGCACCGGAUGUGGGAAGAGGCGGCUGACACAGAAGACGCCAGCCCCUCAUCACAGAGACAGAGCACGUGAUACAUCCCAACUCCAGGAAUCCUGUGUGUCCUGGGGAAAGCGCUGGGCUCCUUGGGGUUGUUCACACGUUCCCUAGAACCAACUGCUGACACUCUCGGUUGCAGCUCUGUUAUGGACCAUGUGGGACUGUGAGAAAGUUAGCAACAGCCACAGGUUCCUGAACAUGCGACAUGUGACAGCUCAUGCGUGAUGAACCCCAGGGGGCUCUGGGAGUGUGUGAUUGAGUUAUAUUAUGUGACCUCACUGAAGCUGUGGUUCUGGACACAGAGUGUACUCCUUUUCCCGAUUCUCCUUUGAAAUAAUGAUUUAACUAUGCAAAAAUGAAGACUGCUUCCACCGUCACCCUUCAGUUUGUAUCGUGUUUAUCUGUUUUUGUAUUGUGUUGUUAGAACAUUUGACUUCAAAAAUUGCUGUUUGAUGUAUUUGAAUUUCACAAAAAGCUAUUAAUGAAUUCUGCCUUGGGAUUAGGGCAGAAUUUCCAUCAGUUUCUUAAACAAUAGCCCUUAACGAUAGUCUGACAUUCUGAACUAUGCAUUUGCAUGGACUCAUGUCCUUUGCAUUGAUGGUUAAAAAUAUCAAAAUAUCUACCAACUCUAAAAAACACAGAAGAUGCUUCUGUGCCCCGCAGAAGCAAGUAUUAAGCAAGAUCUAUUUCUUUCUGUGAAAUAAACACACCCAC